UGACCAGGGAGCUUCCUGUCUGCUUCUGGACUUGGAUUCCCUCCUCCUGCCCACCUCCCAGUAUGCCCCUUUUCCCUCAGAGCAGUAGCAGAUGUUAAUCUGAAUUUAAGAAGUUUUUUUCAGUAAAUUCAGGUGUACGUGGACAUCUGUAAAGGCGUUUGUGCUGUCAGUGAUCCCAGGUAGCUGUGCAGUGGUUGGCUUCACCCACAUUUGAGUUGUUUGAUGCCCUUUCCAAAAACUGGUGUAAAGGUUUGAGCCCUUAAAAGACUUGGGGUGUUUUUGUUGCAAUAUACUUCUACCACUGCUAAUACCUCAGUAAACUCCCUGAGCAAGCACACCUGAAAGCAAGGCUGUGAACUGGGACAGAAGCUUGUCUGUCUUUGGAGGGGUUUUCUUGCAGUGCUUCAGAGAACAGUGCUGCACUCACCCGGCUCUUGAGGCAUUCCUGGACAGGGAGCCAUGGCUGCGUGUCCUUGGUGCCUGCUGAAUGCAUGCUGCUUGCAUGGGCAAGGAGCAAGGGCUGCUUUUUGCUGUCACUGUUGGACUCUGUUCACAUGGGACAGAUCAGUGUACAGAAGGGUCAGACAGUCCUUAAUAAGCAAACCUAGCUUCCUUCUCAUUUUGUGAGUAAAGAUGUGCAUACCUAUCGUUCCUCUGCUGGUUACACCUUUCCUGAGCCAGUAAUCCUCGUUUGCUGCAGGUCUGGCUUUGUCCAUGACUCUGGAGUCGCUCAGCUGAGACAGCUACGCCUGUGAGUGUCAGAGGGAAACAGCUAUUGUUUGCUUUCCCUAGAGGCCCACAGCCAAGGAAGCAGGAUUUGUGCCUUCUUCAGCCAAAGAAGACCUCAGAGGUAGCACAUUCCAAGUCCAAAGUAGAAAAAUUAUUUCAAAAUGCAUUUUCCUAGUAAGGACUGUCAGUGCAUCCUUUUUGAGAAAGAACCAGUUUUCAUUUAUAGGCUUUUUGUGUCAUUAAAAUAUAUCUUUUUGCAUAUGGUUCAGAAAAAUAGCCAAUUCUCAGCUCAGCAUUUUUUGACUGAAAUAAUGCAGUCUGUUCUCUUUGCAUACUGGGACAAGAAGCAAAGCUAAAUAGUCUGGGAGUCUGAUCUAAUCCAGCAUUUCCAAUAUGUUUUAAUCUAGAUGUGAUACCCUCAUUCCAGCACCAUGCACCCAAAGUCAGAGAACACUGUCAUGGCUUCUAACUGCCUUGGGGUUCCUGCCUUUUGAUGCUGUGUUCCAGAUCUUGGAAAAUAGUUUCCUUCUUUGGGUGUGUUUUUUCCUUACACUGCUGCAGUGAAUUUGUUUGUGGGCAUCAGACAGCAGUUGGAGGCUGGAUUGGUUCAUGGGUGGUGCUGGAAACCUGCUGUUCUUCCAGAGGAUAAAAAAAUGCUGCUGAUGUUCUGCCAUUAGUUACAUUUGUUUUGCUUAGGAAAGGAAAUAUUUUCAGCGCUGCAGGUAACCAGUUAAAAAAAAGAGUGGAAAUAGAAAUUACUUUUAGAAGUUUAAAGUGAGGAUAUAUAUUAAAAUGUCUCUAUAAGAGCAUCCACAGCUCCUGUCAGUGCAGGGUCAUAGCAUCUCAGCAAAAUCUCAGACAGGCCAAUGUCUUGACAGGUCUCCCUUCCUCUCCUUGCAUCCCUGCUGGGAUGGUAAUGUGAAUGGUUGGUGAUUGAACAGGGGUUGGGCCUGGUAGCCGUCCCAGGUUUUACACAUAAGACUGUCCUUUUCUUGCGUUGUUUGCCCUCACAUUUCUAAUUAGUGUCAUUUAUGCUAAGAAAUUAUUGGAGGUGCACAUAGCAAAUGCAGGUGAAGAGUUUCAAAUGAAACUUCCAAGUGUAAUUGGGGUAGGUACAGAGUUAGUGUGGCUCCCAUUGAUACUUGUCUGCAUUGCUUUCGUAUCUGGCUCCUUGCAGUUAAAAGGCACUUCCCUGCUUUAUGCCUGGGGAUGAUUACUGUUGGGGAUGAAAGGCAGACACCUCCUGGGUGGAGCAGAGCACAGUAAAACCAAACCAGGGCUUAGGGCAACAAACGUUCUGUCAGGUCUCGGUCCCCCUCGUUUAUGAUGAAAGCUUUUCAAAGACAUGCACAGUAGUGACGUGUGUCGAUCCUGUGAGACGUUCCAGGGAAGCACUAUAGCAGGUUGCCUGGUAAAGACAGCAGCAGCAGUUGGGAUUUCUCUGGAAAGAGGUGUGAGCUGCAGUGUACAAAGGAGGCACUGAGCCAGGCUUGGGAAGCCGACCUCCCUGUUCAUAUUGUCUUCCUGAUGCAAUCCUUCCUCCCGGCGCUGCUGCGACCCAAGUGUGGCUGCCUACUAGUCUGAGCCAUAUUCCUUAGAAAGGGCCAGCUGGCAGAGUUUAGCCCCCAGAAGAGAGAGCCCAGGUGAAGAUCUCAGUCAGCUCUGGCCUUUCUCAGGGAUGUCUCCUGCAGCCCUGUGGGAUUUUUGUACGGAUUGGCUUGGGAUAUGCAUGGCUUUAAAAUCAAAGAGCCACUGAAAGGAGAACUCCAGAAAAAGGCACCGACUGCCAAGAUCAAAGUACAGGCACCAUUAGGGGCAGGAUCCUGGGCUUCUCUUUUGGCCUCAGAACUGUGCUUCUAAGGGACUCCAGCACUCAAAUGAGAGCCACGUAAAUAAAACAGGGCAGAACUGGGCCCAUGCUGAAGACUCCUGAAAAUGCUGCUGAGCAGCUGUGGAUCUGGUGCCAUCACCUCCUGUGAACUCACUGAUGUCUCACCAUUGUAAGAGACAGCAAGAUCCGGCAGCUCUGCUCACCUCCAGUGUAUGUGUGCUCCCUGCUGCUUCAGCCAUUCUGUUCACCCAAAAGUAACAGCAUGGAUAAAUCCUGAAGCCAAUUUCAUCUGUCCAAGUGGGAGCACAGAACUAAGAACUGUAUCUCUGAAGGGCUGCAAGUUCUCCAGUUCCUCAUUUGAAAACACUCCAACACAGGUGAGAGCACGUGGUCCAAGGGAAAAAAGACCUUUACCAGUGUUCCAAACACUGACAUUUCAGUGGAAUCCUGACAUGAGUGUUGUUAGAAGCAUUUCUGCAUUGCUAGAGACCCUGUUACUUGUUUUGGAACAAGGGGGAUUGAAGUGCACUGCAGUGCCUCCAAAAGUCAAAACCAAUUGAUUGUAGAGGCACACGUAUGUGCUCCCUCUUACCUGCUC